GAUGAACGCUGGCGGCGUGCCUAAUACAUGCAAGUCGAGCGAACAGACGAGGAGCUUGCUCCUCUGACGUUAGCGGCGGACGGGUGAGUAACACGUGGAUAACCUACCUAUAAGACUGGGAUAACUUCGGGAAACCGGAGCUAAUACCGGAUAAUAUAUUGAACCGCAUGGUUCAAUAGUGAAAGACGGUUUUGCUGUCACUUAUAGAUGGAUCCGCGCCGCAUUAGCUAGUUGGUAAGGUAACGGCUUACCAAGGCAACGAUGCGUAGCCGACCUGAGAGGGUGAACGGCCACACUGGAACUGAGACACGGUCCAGACUCCUACGGGAGGCAGCAGUAGGGAAUCUUCCGCAAUGGGCGAAAGCCUGACGGAGCAACGCCGCGUGAGUGAUGAAGGUCUUCGGUUCGUAAAACUCUGUUAUUAGGGAAGAACAAAUGUGUAAGUAACUAUGCACGUCUUGACGGUACCUAAUCAGAAAGCCACGGCUAACUACGUG
rnacentral:rRNA from 1 species